rnacentral:rRNA from 1 species
UACGGAGGGGGCUAGCGUUGUUCGGAAUUACUGGGCGUAAAGCGCGCGUAGGCGGACCUGCAAGUCGGGGGUGAAAGCCCGAGGCUCAACCUCGGAACUGCCUUCGAUACUGCGGGUCUCGAGUCCGGGAGAGGUGAGUGGAAUUCCGCGUGUAGCAGUGAAAUGCGCAGAUUUCAGGAGGAACACCGAUGGCGAAGGCAGGUCUCUGGGCCACUACUGACGCUGAGAAGCGAAAGCAUGGGGAGCGAACAGG